CCUACGGGAGGCAGCAGUGGGGGAUAUUGCACAAUGGGGGGAACCCUGAUGCAGCGACGCCGCGUGGGUGAAGGAGCGUUUCGGCGCGUAAAGCCCUAUCGGCAGGGAAGAAGGAGGACGGUACCUGACUAAGAAGCCCCGGCCAACUCCGUGCCAGCAGCCGCGGUAAUACGCGGGGGGCAAGCGUUAUCCGGUUUUACUGGGUGUAAAGGGGGCGCAGACGGCAGCGAAAGCCAGGGGUGAAAGCCCGGGGCCCAACCCCGGGACUGCUCUUGAAACUGCGGGGCUGGGGUGCAGGAGGGGCAGGCGGAAUUCCUGGUGUGGCGGGGAA
rnacentral:rRNA from 1 species